GUACUAGUAGCUUAGUUUUAAAGCAUCGGUCUUGUAAUCCGAAGAUCGGAGGUUAGACCCCUCCUUAGUGC
rnacentral:tRNA from 1 species